rnacentral:rRNA from 1 species
UACGUAGGGUGCGAACGUUGCUCGGAAUUACUGGGCGUAAAGCGCGUGUAGGCGGAUCCAUAAGUCGGGCGUGAAAUCCCCAGGCUCAACCUGGGAACUGCGCUCGAAACUGUGGGUCUAGAGUGUCGGAGAGGAUGGCGGAAUUCCUGGUGUAGAGGUGAAAUUCGUAGAUAUCAGGAGGAACACCGGUGGCGAAGGCGGCCAUCUGGACGACAACUGACGCUGAGACGCGAAAGCGUGGGGAGCAAACAGG